UACGGGGGGGGCAAGCGUUGUUCGGAAUUACUGGGCGUAAAGGGCUCGUAGGCGGCCCACUAAGUCGGAUGUGAAAUCCCCAGGCUUAACCUGGGAACUGCAUCCGAUACUGGAUGGCUUGAAUCCGGGAGAGGGAUGCAGAAUUCCAGGUGUAGCGGUGAAAUGCGUAGAUAUCUGGAGGAACACCGGUGGCGAAGGCGGCAUCCUGGACCGAUACUGACGCUGAGGAGCGAAAGCCAGGGGAGCAAACGGG
rnacentral:rRNA from 1 species